AUUUGGUUUCAAUUUUUUUCUUUAAUUACACAGUAAUUGCUAUGUUUUGGAUGUAUAUGCCCCUAUGAAAUUCAUAUGCUAAAAUCUAAUGACUAAGAUGAUGGUUUAGAAGGUGGAGCCUCUGGUAGUGAUUAGGUCAUGAGGAUCAAUGAGGGCUCCAGCCUUGUGAACAGGAUUAACGUCCUUACAAAAGGCUGCAGAGAGCGGCCUCGCUCUUCCCCUCUUCCACUGUGAGGAUGCAGCAAGAAGGCGCCAUGUUGGAAGCACAGAGCAGCCCUCACCAGAGACCGAGGCUGCUGGGGCCCUGAUCUUGGACUUCCAGCCUCCAGUACUGUGAGAAAUAAAUUACUAUUACUUACACAUUACCCAAUCUGUAGUAUUUUGUUACAGCAGCCCAAAUGGACUGAGACAGUAAUCUACAAUCAUGGAGCUCAUACAAUGUUUUAUAUUUGUAGAUAUUGAAAUAACAUUAUUAUAGAAAUGAAAAUGAUGGCAACAUGUUGAGAGCUGGAGCCUGCAAUAACUUUUCAAGAACAUGAAGGGGUCCAUCCAUCACUUGGGUUUGAGGAACAGACAGCGGAGGACCCUGCCUCAUCUCCUUCCGCUCCACGACGUCUCAUGUCAAGAGCUGCUCGGCUUCUUUUGCUCCUCUCUCCUCUUCAGCAUAUCAGCCCUUAUUCUUCUGUUACUGUGACUCCAUACUUAGCUCUUGAGCACCUUAGCGGGGGUGUCCUUCUUGGGAAAAGUUUUGGAACCCUAAUUUAGUCCAAUUACCAUAAUUUACACAUGAAGGAACUGGGGCCCAGAUGGAUAAAGUGACUCAUUCAAGGGCACUGGAGAUUGGAGCUGGCUCUCCUGAUCCAAAGCCCAGAGCAUAGAUCCCCAGGAAAAGCACAGGGAAGCAGCACUUGCUACUUCCCACAGACCUGCUAAUUUCCUGUUUCAAAAUGGGAGCAAGGCUAGACCACAGUCAUGGGUGCAAGGCAUUAUAAGAGGCAUGGCACAGUCUGUUCCCAGAAAUGCACCAUUGAUUUGAACACCCAAAUGGCUAGGAAUAUUAAGAGCUAAUCCAAACCAUCAGAACUGCUGGCUCCAACUCUAGCAAAGAAAAAUAAACAAAAUCUUUCUAAACUUAGAAAUGGUUCAGGAUUAUUUUUCUUUUUUUUUUCCAGCUCAUCAAAGAUUAGCUGUAGAGUUCUCUCCACCCACCUCCAACACAGUGAUUAAAGGUCCAGCAUUGCUGGCCAGCUAAGACGCUGGCUGACAAGAAGAACUAUGCUUACAUAAAUAUGGAAGAUUGAACUGAGCGCUUAUACUGCUUGACAGAGUGAUUAGUCUGAAUAACAACAAGGAGAAAGAGAAACAGAAGCUUGACUUCAUCUUUAAUGAAACUGGGUGGCAUGCAUAAACCAUAGUUGCAAUGCAUGAAGACUGAAGGAGGCCGGGUGCAGUGGCUCACACCUGUAAUCUCAGCACUUUGGGAGGCCAAGGUGGGCGGAUCACCUGAGGUCAGGAGUUCGAGACCAGCUGGGCCAACAUGGUAAAACCCUGUCUCUACUAAAAGUACAAAAAUUAGCCAGGCAUGAUGGCGGGUGCCUGUAAUCCCAGCCACUUGGGAGGCUGAGGCAGGAGAAUUGCUUGAACCUGGGAGGCAGAGGUUGCAGCAAGCUGAGAUCGUGCCACUGUAUUCCAGCCUGGGUGACAGAGCCAGGCUCCAUCUCAAAAAAAAUAAAUAAAUAAAGACUGAAGGUGGAUGAAUGAGUGACAACAGACAGCAGAACGGAGUACGGUGAAGGCUUCAGGGAGGAUGUGAUGAGAAGCAGGAUAGCUGGUACCUUCAGGACUUUGGGAAGCCUUGAGAAUCAGAGGUGCUGGGUAAUGUAGAAGACAGGUAAAAUCAGAAAUGAGAAAAGAGAAAAAGAGAAAAUUGUGGAGAAGAAAAUAUCAAAGAAGUAAUAUUUAAAAAUUUCCCAGAAUUAGAGGCUUAAGUUUCCAGAUUGAAAGGGCCCACUGAGAGAUAAACCAAUGAAGGAGAAGAAGACACUCAAAAAAUUCUCCAGCCAAGCACUCUGAUGUAAGCAUUGGAAAUGGUCUGGGCUGUUUCCAAUAAUAUAAUUCUGUGGAGAAAGUGUCAGAGCUACAAUCUUCUCCCUAAGGAUAAUUACAAGUAGAAGGUAAAUAUGUGUCUUUCUGAGCCAUUCAAUAAGUUGAAGGGUUAUGCAAAUCUACAUUUUAGAUGUUAUUUCCAUAAGUCGAUUGUGUUUCUUUACUUCUAACUGCAGUACUCCACAAAGUAUUUUAGGCAGAAUAAAGACACAUACAAUACAACAAAAUGAAAUAAAUUAAAAAUAAGCAAGGAACACAGCAACGGGAAAAUAAAGAUGUGAAACUAAGAGAAACUAAGAGUGAGGUUUAUACACACAAAAUACAUGCAAAUAAUUCCUAUAUAUUUGAUAAAAUAGGCCACAAAUUUGGUUUUACUCUUGUUAGUCAACACAAGGAGAGAAGCCUGAUCGGACAUGUGAUUCCUAAGGCCUAUAGCAUAAAAACAAACCAGCCCCUAUUCCUGUAAUGAAGAGAGGAUGCUGUGUAAUGGGAACAAUGUACUCAACAGCACCCUUACAGUCAAUGCAAUGAUCAUUUCACUGGACUAUUCCUAGACAUGGCUGAGAAAGGAAAAUACAAUUCUAAGACCCCAGUGGACUGAAUGGACCCCCUCUUGGCCAAGGGGACCCCAGAGAAACCUCAGAAGCUGAGUUUCCAGCCAUGAUGUAAUGGGAGGUGAGGCAUGGCUCAUUAUACCACUCCCUCCUUAACCACCAUUAGGCUUUCUUUCCUAAGGGCUAAACAGAAACCAGUCCUUCCAAAAGACUCCACACUGAUAACGUUGGUUACUAGCUUAUUCUUCCAGGCACAAAACAAAGACAACUUCGGGAGGCCAAGGCAGGUGGAUCACUUGAGCCCAGAAGUUCAAGACCAUUCUGGGCAACAUGGUGAAGCCCCAUCUCUACAACCAGAAAAUAUAAAAAGUAGCCUGGCAUGGUGGUAUGAUCCUAUAGUCCCAGCAACUCAGGAGGCUAAGGUGAGAGGAUCGCUUGAGCCCAGGAGUUUGAGUCUGCAGUGAGCUAUGAUCAUGCCACUGCACUCCAGCCUGUGUGACAGAGCAAGACUCUGUCUCAAGAAAAUAAAAAUAAAUAAAAUUUAAAAAUAAACAAAACAAAGAAAAGAAGAGAUUAACCAUUCCUUCAUCCCUCCCUGACAUUUGCUUCCUCUAUUCUCUUUUUUCUCUAAUGUUCACCUUAUCUUAUGUAAAAUGUAGAUUUAGUGGGCACCAACUGAAGUCUCACAAGUAUGUAACCAUUAGUCUCACUGUCAUGCUCCCCCCGCCACCACCAAUUUUUAAGGAAAAUGUAGAAUACUAAACCUCCUGAGAACUUCUUUGGAAAAACAGCCAGAGAUAUGUCUGUGACUCAUGUUUUUCCUGGAUGCACCCUCAAGCUGGAUCAAUAAACCUCAAUUCAUUGGGACACUUGCCUCUGUCACCCAUUUGGUUGUCCAUAGCUCAAUGGCAUUAAGACAACGUAAAAUUCAGCUAACAUAUUUUGGGUAAGAGAAUGAUGCUGAUGAGAUGUUAUUCAGCCUCUUCACUCUAUAAUUAUCUGAUUUAGCCUAAGGCUAGCUUUUAAGGAAUUGGAUGUGUGAAAGGAACAUAAAAUCUCAGGACCCCUAAGUCACUCUGCCAAAGGGAAAAUUUAAGCUUGGGAGCUGAGUCCCACAAAACUGCCUUCCAUUUUGUUCCUAAAUAGCUGCAAAGCUAGAAGGUCACAUAUCUCCCUGGGGACCUCCCUCACAAAUUGCUCACAAGGAAAUUCUUUGUGGGCCCCAAGAUCUUUACCUUGAAACAGAGUUCUGUUGAACUUCACCUUGACAAUGUAAAUGAACAGCUUACCUUCACAGGUACAGGACAAAGACAGGACUAGAAGUCACCCCUCCGCUCACAUGAGACAAAUGCAUAGUUGACUGUUCCUCUGAGAUAUGAAUAGCACGGGGUAGUUGCAGGAGGGUGGAAAAUAAGAACUAGGCAAACUUACCACAGGAUAACAGAAAACCCAAAAUAAGGGAAAGAAAAUGGCCAAAACUCCAGUCAGGGUGAGAGGUCCAUGGCUCUUCCAGGCAAACCCAAAUAAUGGAGAAAGGGAGCCAUAACUGGGAGGUCCCUGAAAUCCCCCUUUUCCAGAAUACCUAAUGAUUAUCCUACCCCCUAAUUAAAGAAACAUCCAUAAAAUUAGAAACCCAAGCUCCAUUGUGUGUGACUGAU
rnacentral:lncRNA from 1 species